UACGUAGGGAGCAAGCGUUGUUCGGAUUUACUGGGCGUAAAGGGCGCGUAGGCGGCGCGGUAAGUCACUUGUGAAAUCUCUGAGCUUAACUCAGAACGGCCAAGUGAUACUGCAGUGCUAGAGUGCAGAAGGGGCAAUCGGAAUUCCCGGUGUAGCGGUGAAAUGCGCAGAUAUCGGGAGGAACACCGGUGGCGAAGGCGGUUCUCUGGGCCUUACCUGACGCUGAGGAGCGAAAGCGUGGGGAGCGAACAGG
rnacentral:rRNA from 1 species